rnacentral:rRNA from 1 species
GAUGAACGCUGGCGGCGUGCCUAAUACAUGCAAGUCGAGCGAACAGACGAGGAGCUUGCUCCUUUGACGUUAGCGGCGGACGGGUGAGUAACACGUGGAUAACCUACCUGUAAGACUGGGAUAACUUCGGGAAACCGGAGCUAAUACCGGAUAACAUGUUGAACCGCAUGGUUCAACAGUGAAAGACGGUCUUGCUGUCACUUAUAGAUGGAUCCGCGCCGCAUUAGCUAGUUGGUAAGGUAACGGCUUACCAAGGCAACGAUGCGUAGCCGACCUGAGAGGGUGAUCGGCCACACUGGAACUGAGACACGGUCCAGACUCCUACGGGAGGCAGCAGUAGGGAAUCUUCCGCAAUGGGCGAAAGCCUGACGGAGCAACGCCGCGUGAGUGAAGAAGGUCUUCGGAUCGUAAAACUCUGUUAUUAGGGAAGAACAAAUGUGUAAGUAACUAUGCACGUCUUGACGGUACCUAAUCAGAAAGCCACGGCUAACUACGUG